GGGGAUUUAGCUCAGUGGUAGAGUGCUUGCCUAGCAAGCACAAGGCACUGGGUUCGGUCCCCAGCUCCG
rnacentral:tRNA from 1 species